rnacentral:lncRNA from 1 species
CUCGACAGGACCCAGCAAGGGAAGAGAGUUUGCAGGAAUUUGCUGGCUCAUUUAAAUCCAAGGUCCAACUGCACACAUUUCUUUCACUCCUGAGAGCCAGAAUGUCAGAGACUCUCAAUCCUGUUUCCAGUCCUGCUGUGCCUCUGGAGUCUGCCAAGCUGUCUCCCAGUGUUUGGAUCGAGCUAAGAAGCCAGGCAAGAUGCACAAACUCGGUCAAUCUUUCCUGCCUUCCUUCCUUCUUUAUUUCUUUUUUAAAAUUUGUAUUAUGUUUUGACAGGAAAUCUAUAUGUACUCUGAUGGUCUAGAACCUACUGUGUUGCCCAAGCUGGCUUUGAAUUUGUCCUGAUCUUCUGCCCUCUGCCCUCUGCCCUCUGUCCCUCUGCCUUGAGGAAAUUAAAGGCAAUCAUACCUGGU